rnacentral:miRNA from 1 species
GCAGGAGGAUCGCUUGAACCCAGGAAGUGGAGGCUGCAGUGAGCUGUGAUUGCACCACUGCAUUCCAGCCUGGGUGGCAAAGCAAGACCCUGUCUC